rnacentral:rRNA from 1 species
UGAGGAAUCUUCGUCAAUGGGCUCAGGCCUGAACGAGCAACGCCGCGUGGAGGACGACGCCUUUCGGGGUGUAAACUCCUUUUCUGGGGGACGAGACAGGACGGUACCCCAGGAAGAAGUCUCGGCUAACUACGUGCCAGCAGCCGCGGUAAUACGUAGGAGACGAGCGUUGUCCGGAGUUACUGGGCGUAAAGGGCGCGCAGGCGGCCGACUAUGUGUGCGGUGAAAGCUCCUGGCUUAACUAGGAGAGGUCCGUGCAAACGGGUCGGCUUGAGCGUCGGAGAGGGGCAUGGAAUUCCGGGUGGAGCGGUGAAAUGCGUAGAGAUCCGGAGGAACACCAAUGGCGAAGGCAGUGCCCUGGCCGACGGCUGACGCUCAGGCGCGAAAGCGUGGGGAGCAAACAGGAUUAGAUACCCCCGUAGUCC